rnacentral:tRNA from 1 species
AUCUAAAUAGUUUAAAUAAAAAUUUUGAUUUGUGGCAUCAAAGAUAUAUCUUAUAUUUUAGAUU